rnacentral:lncRNA from 1 species
AUACACUCAAACACACACAUAACACAAGCUGCGCCCCAUCUCUCCUUUCUCACUCUCUCUCUCGCCUUUCCCUCUCUGUUCGGCUGAGGGCGGCGCCGCCUCCGGCGCGCCGCCUCGCCGUCGCCUCCUCCCCUCCUCUCCUUCGGCCACCGCGACCAGCCACCAGGUGUCGCCACCCUCGACUCCCUCGCUCCCUCGGCCGCUGGAACCAGGCGCAGCAGCGCGACCACGCCGCCGCUGUCAUCUCCUCCGCCUCUCCUCCACGGCAGAUCCGCCGCCGCCGUUCAACGCCACGGCCACCCCUUGUUCUCCCUCUCUCUCUAUCCCUAACUCUCAACUUCAUCUCGAUCUCUCUCUCUAACCUCACUGCCACACACGCCGGCAGACACGGCGUAAGCCGCGCCGCCGCGUCGCCCUCCCUCUCGCUGGCUGCACAGGCCCACGGCCGUGGAGGAGCCGCCGUCGCCGGAGACAGCCCAGGUAAACCCUAAGUUUCCCCUUCUCCUUUCAUUUUUUUUUUAAAACUUGAAGCUAAAAACCCCCUCUUCUUUCAUUUUUGGCAGAUCGGAACCACGGCAGGUUCACCGCCGCCGCUCCGUCGCCGGCGACGAGCCACCGCGGCUGCCGCCUCCCUCUGAUCUCGACUCACACACACACAGCAGAGUCAGCCCCCCCCCUUCAAAGGUUUCAAGCCUCAAAUUCAGUCGAACACUUAGUACAUAGGAUUUGAGCAAAAAUCAAAUACUGUAAUUGCUUAAUGAAAUCUGAAAUUCUUUUCUUGAAACUGAACUAGUCUGUAAAUUUCAGUUCAUAUGUGCAUAUGUAAACAUGUUGUGAAAUAUCAGAACAGCCGUAUGAAUUGGUAUGAAUUGGUGGUUCCCUGAGGGUGAUGAUACCUUGAGUAGGUGG